CCUAGCGGCAGACGGGUGCGUAACAUGUGGGAAUCUGCCUUUUGGUUCGGAACAACACGGGGAAACCUGUGCUAAUACCGGAUAAGCCCUUACGGGGAAAGUUUUAAUGCCAUAAGAUGAGCCCGCAUUUGAUUAGUUAGUUGGUAAGGUAAUGGCUUACCAAGGCAACGAUCAAUAGCUGUUCUUAGGGGAAGACCAGCCACAUUGGGACUGAGACACGGUCCAAACUCC
rnacentral:rRNA from 1 species